rnacentral:rRNA from 1 species
CCCGGCGACAAGCGGUGGAGUAUGUGGUUUAAUUCGAUGCAACGCGAAGAACCUUACCUGGUCUUGACAUCCCGGAGACCCUUAGGAAACUAGGGGGUGCUUCCAUCUGGAAGAAUCUGGAGACAGGUGCUGCAUGGCUGUCGUCAGCUCGUGUCGUGAGAUGUUGGGUUAAGUCCCGCAACGAGCGCAACCCUUGCCUUUAGUUGCCAGCAGUUCGGCUGGGCACUCUAAAGGGACUGCCGGUGUUAAACCGGAGGAAGGUGGGGAUGACGUCAAGUCCUCAUGGCCUUUAUGACCAGGGCUACACACGUACUACAAUGGCCGAUACAAAGGGCAGCGACACUGCGAGGUGAAGCCAAUCCCGUAAAAUCGGUCUCAGUCCGGAUUGGAGUCUGCAACUCGACUCCAUGAAGUUGGAAUCACUAGUAAUCGUGGAUCAGCAUGCCACGGUGAAUACGUUCCCGGGCCUU